AUUGAACGCUGGCGGCAGGCCUAACACAUGCAAGUCGAGCGGAGCGGCGAACGGGUGAGUAAUGCCUAGGAAUCUGCCUGGUAGUGGGGGAUAGGGUCCGGACACGGGCGCUAAUACCGAAUACUACCAGAUGAGCCUAGGUCGGAUUAGCUAGUUGGGGGGGUAAAGGCCUACAAAGGCGACGAUCCGUAACUGGUCUGAGAGGAUGAUGAGCCACACUUGAACUGAGACACGUUCCAGACUCCUACGGUAGGCAGCAUUGGGGAAUAUUGGACAAUGUGCGAAAGCCUGAUCCAGCCAUGCCGCGUGUGUGAAGAAGGCCUUCGGAUUGUAAAGCACUUUAAGUUGGGAGGCGUUACCAACAGAAUAAGCACCGGCUAACUUCGUGCCAGCAGCCGCGGUAAUUC
rnacentral:rRNA from 1 species